rnacentral:rRNA from 1 species
AAUGAACGCUGGCGGCGUGCCUAACACAUGCAAGUCGAACGAGAAAGCCUGGCUUGCCAGGCGAGUAAAGUGGCGCACGGGUGAGUAACGCGUGGGAACCUGCCUUUAGGUUCGGAAUAACAGUUAGAAAUGACUGCUAAUACCGGAUAAUGUCUUCGGACCAAAGAUUUAUCGCCUUUAGAUGGGCCCGCGUUGGAUUAGAUAGUUGGUGGGGUAAUGGCCUACCAAGUCGACGAUCCAUAGCUGGUCUGAGAGGAUGAUCAGCCACACUGGGACUGAGACACGGCCCAGACUCCUACGGGUGGCAG